GACGAACGCUGGCGGCGUGCCUAAUACAUGCAAGUCGAGCGGACAGAAGGGAGCUUGCUCCCGGAAGUUAGCGGCGGACGGGUGAGUAACACGUGGGCAACCUACCCUGUAGAUCGGGAUAGCAUCGAGAAAUCGGUGCUAAUACCGGAUAAUCAUUUGAAGUGCAUGCUUCGAAUGUAAAAGAUGGCUCCGGCUAUCACUACGGGAUGGGCCCGCGGCGCAUUAGCUAGUUGGUAAGGUAAUGGCUUACCAAGGCAACGAUGCGUAGCCGACCUGGGAGGGUGAUCGGCAACCCGGGGACUGAGACACGGCCAAGACUCCUACGGGAGGCAGCAGUAGGGAAUCUUCCGCAAUGGACGAAAGUCUGACGGGGCAACGCCGCGUGAGUGAUGAAGGUUUUCGGAUCGUAAAGCUCUGUUGUUAGGGAAGAACAAGUGCCGUUUGAGUAAGGCGGCACCUUGACGGUACCUAACCAGAAAGCCACGGCUAACUACGUGCCAGCCGCCGCCGUAACAC
rnacentral:rRNA from 1 species